AGUGAACGCUGGCGGUAGGCCUAACACAUGCAAGUCGAACGGCAGCACAGUAAGAGCUUGCUCUUACGGGUGGCGAGUGGCGGACGGGUGAGGAAUACAUCGGAAUCUACUUUUUCGUGGGGGAUAACGUAGGGAAACUUACGCUAAUACCGCAUACGACCUACGGGUGAAAGCAGGGGAUCUUCGGACCUUGCGCGGUUGAAUGAGCCGAUGUCGGAUUAGCUAGUUGGCGGGGUAAAGGCCCACCAAGGCGACGAUCCGUAGCUGGUCUGAGAGGAUGAUCAGCCACACUGGAACUGAGACACGGUCCAGACUCCUACGGGAGGCAGCAGUGGGGAAUAUUGGACAAUGGGCGCAAGCCUGAUCCAGCCAUACCGCGUGGGUGAAGAAGGCCUUCGGGUUGUAAAGCCCUUUUGUCGGGAAAGAAAAGCAGCAGGUUAAUACCCCGCUGUUCUGACGGUACCCAAAGAAUAAGCACCGGCUAACUUCGUG
rnacentral:rRNA from 1 species